CAUAGAGCACCGAGCCACCGACAGACACAGACCGACUGACGCCGCGCCCCGGUCCCCAUCAUGCUCUCUCAGGACCACCCGAGCUCGGAUCCGGCUCCGCUCCCGCAGGAUCCGGUUUGGGCCGGGCCCGAGGCGCUGGGUCCGGGCUGGGGGGAGCCGGAGCCCCCCGGGGGGGAGGAGCCGGAGCCGGAGCCCGAGGACAGCGACGACACCGACGGGGCCGCCCGAGCCUACGAGCGGCUGCAGAGCGAACUGCGGGCGGAGGGGCUGCCCCCGACCGUGGAGCGGGGCGAGGAGCACG